GGUUCAGGAUGAACGCUAGCUACAGGCUUAACACAUGCAAGGUCGAGGGGCAGCAUGAGCUUAGCUUGCUAAGCUUGAUGGCGACCGGCGCACGGGUGAGUAACGCGUAUCCAACCUUCCCCUUAGUAGGGCAUAGCCCGGUGAAAAUCGGAUUAAUACCCUAUGUUCUUCACAGCGGACAUCUAACGUGAAGCAAAGGUUCACCGCUAAGGGAUGGGGAUGCGUCUGAUUAGGUAGUCGGCGGGGUAACGGCCCACCGAGCCAUCGAUCAGUAGGGGUUCUGAGAGGAAGGUCCCCCACAUUGGAACUGAGACACGGUCCAAACUCCUACGGGAGGCAGCAGUGAGGAAUAUUGGUCAAUGGGCGCGAGCCUGAACCAGCCAAGUAGCGUGCAGGAUGACGGCCCUAUGGGUUGUAAACUGCUUUUAUGCGGGGAUAAAGUCACCCACGUGUGGGUGUUUGCAGGUACCGCAUGAAUAAGGACCGGCUAAUUCCGUGCCAGCCGCCGC
rnacentral:rRNA from 1 species